CUACUACUCAAGUCACUGUUAAAACAUUACAGACAAUCGGAAUGACACAGAUCAAGUUGUGUAAUUUACACUUCCACAUCUAUAACUACUAAUUCGAAAACAUUAAGCCGUUGUCAACAAAGUAUAGUUGAUAUUCAUUGAGAACAAAAGCUGUUGUUCUGUACAGCGGACAAAAACCUGUUGAAAGACUGAAGAAACUGAUAUGCUAGUCGUGUCAAAAAAAGUUAAUUUCAAAUUUAAAAUGAUGUUUCAGUGUGUCCGCAUGUUUAAAUUUUGUACAGAGAAAUAUGCUUCAAAUAUUUGAAAACAAAUUUUCUGUUUGGUUCUCUAUAAAUAGAUGCUUUUAAUAUAUUAUUUCUUAUAAUUAAGCACGGAACUGUGAUUUAUGAUCGUAGGGUUGUAUGUAUAUAUAUUUUUUCUCUUUAUAGUUGAAUUUUGACUACCCCCACCUACUCUCAAAUUAGGUUGUGAAGGAAAGUAUCUAGUUGCGUUCAUUAUCUUUAAAUCUUAAGGUCUUGUAGCAGGGCCAUAAGGGCUAAAAGGAACAGGGCAGAGUUAUGUUCCCUCAUUCUAUCGCUUGUAGGUGACGCUGCGAUGGCACUUCCGCUAGGGAGGAAUAAAAAACCCUAGAGGGAUAACGAAUCAUCCUCAUUUUCCUCCCAAUCACGCCCGUGGGCAGUUUGACCUGUCAACUGGUACAGCCAGCGAGGCUGCUAGCUUGCUUCGCCUUUGACCAUUUAUGCUUCCGCAUUAUGUAGCAGGCGCAUUUCUUACUCUCUUCUGUUUCAGCGUCAAUCACAUAAGAUGUAAUCAUGUUUGUACAACUUUUAUCUAUUCACGUCCAUCUUCAUAUGAACACUGUUAUAAAAACUUGCUUAACUUUGA